GCAUCUUUUUCCUGUUUCUUCCUGCUGCUGAAUCAGUAACACCAAUAUUGCACCAGUGUUUCCUAAAGCAAACAUGGCAAUGACUGGACAUCACAUUCUGGGACCAGCUGAAGCAAACCUCACCCAUAAAGAAAGGUGCUGGAGUGAACCGAAGGACCGCAGAGGAGUCUCGAGCCUUGCUCUCCAAGUCAACAGGUUUGGAAUGCCUGUCUAUGGACCUUUCCCCUUGGAUUGUCUACUUCAUCAACUAUAUGACAUUUUUCAUUCUAACAACUUUUACUUAUUUGUUUCUAACAUACCAAUCUUCGCAUUUUUAGUUCAUUUCUUUUCAAGGAAUCAUUAACUUACCUAUUAUUCUUAACUCAGCAUUGGAAUAAAUGGAACCAUAUUGGUUUUCUGCAACACACUGAUAGAAGCCAGAGUCCGAAAUGUUCAACAUAGUUAUAGUAAGAGUUCCAUUUUCAAUUUGAAAUCUUUCCUUUAAAAAAUAGAGGGAGGGAGGAAACUAAUAUUAAUUUUAGUUAGCUUGUUAAACCACUCUGGUGUUUUAUAUGUUUUUAUUGGUUUAAGUGGAAAGAGUCAAUAAAAACUUACAGAACACUAGAGUGAAAAAGCAGUAUAUGCCUGUGGAUGCAACCUCUACAACAAGGAUGCCAAAUUCAAAUUCCCAGGGGCAACGUCCAUAAAUUUGUACUCUCCAAAAAGGUUAGUUCAACCUGAAUUAGCCACUAAUACAGCUCCAGUACAUCACAUUGCACUCCAGUCAUAGAUACCUGACAUCCUCAUUGAAACCCAACUUCUAGAUUAGUGGAAAUGAUGGGUGGGAGUGGGAUGAUACUAUGUGCAUGUGGAGCCCUGGUAUGAGUCAGUAUAUUUUAUGGUGUGUGCAGAUUGUAUUAGGAACCCUUCAGGAGUCUGUUAAAUAUGUGUCUUAACUAUUAUAGCUUUGCUCAAUGUGUUAAAGACUUGUUGAAAGAAUGCAAUUGAAUUAUAGCACAUGUGUCCCAUUGGCCCCACUCCUGAUGUCUUUGCUCCAUAUAUAGUAUGAUGUCCAUGCUAUUUGAGAAGCUAAAUGAUAUAGACUCAAAAUCUUGUGGAGAUCCUAUCUAUAUACCUGUAUUCACUGAAUAUGCAGCUCUUAGGGGCAGUGUUGGAAGCUGAACCAGGUGGUUCAAUCACAGUGCCCCUUCCACGUGACAUAUGCACAUACAGAGAGUUUGAGUAAAUACUCCUACUGUGACUUGGGGGUGAGGAAGAGCUUGUCACUUCGCUUCCAGGUGGAAGAGGAGUUCGCUUCGAUCCAAUCUGCCUUCCCAGGGGUUAGAAUCAUCUGGUCUGAUAUGCUUCAGCGCAGAGUGUGGAAGUGUGGUGCCCCCAAGCAGAUGGACAAAGCCAGGAGAAAGGUGAAUGGUUCCUUGAGGUGGGUUUUGCUGGCUGGUGGGGGAGAGUUCAUCCUCCAUCCUGACAUCAAACACUCUUUGUCACACCUGUACAGGGAUGAUGGAGUACACCACUCUGAUGAGGGGUAUGACAUUUUCCUUGAGGAUCUGUGGCAGGAUAUUAGGCAUCACCUUGGGCUCUGGUAGGGUGUGUGGUGACCUAAGCAUGGGCUAGGUCCCCUCUGUGGCAGGGUCAGUACGGGAUUAGGGAAAAGGGGGGUAAGUGGAAAUAAUUAGGUGAGAAGCUUGAGGCACCUUCUAGAAAUGGGGCUUCCUCAGACCAAUCCAUCAAAGCCUCAAGGCCAGAUGCUAGGGACAGGAGCCCUCCUUGAGGACUGCCCAGAUCACAGACUCAAUGCCUCAAGGCUGGAGUCAGGGGUGAGACGGACAGUAUUCCCUAGGCACAGUUAAUGUGUCAGCAAUGAAAGGCCAGGAGUAGCUAGUUCACUACUCUAUGGCCUAGAGCCAAGGUUACUCGCUCAAAAAUCGAAGCUGCUGGAAUUAAGUUCUGUAGCACUCAGAUUUAUAGGGGCCCACACUGAUCUUUUAAAAUUAUCUAGGUCCCCGCUGCAGAUCUCAGUCUUGAGAAUUGGCUUAAUCCAGUUUUCAUUUUCAAUCAUUUGCUUUAAUUGGUC